UGUGUGUGGGCUCAGUGUGGAAAAGCUGGGAGCUUCUGAAGCCAGGAUUCACUGAGGUCUUGGAUAAAGUGGCAUCAUCUGACAAGUUCAAGGGUCGUGUCCGUGGCUACAGCCUCUUGAUUUUGCAGCAGUCUUCAGCUCUCGGUGGUGCUAGCCUAGGGGCUCAGAGUGUGGGCACCCCCAUCACCAUGGAUUACAAAGCCAAUGCCAAAGUCUUCUACCAACAUACUUUUAACAGCAGCCAAUGAGAGCGUAGCUGCACGUCUGGUAGAUCUCAGCUGAAGGGAAAUUGUAUUGGUUAUUAUAUAAUUAUCAGCAUCUUCGCUAAUGACACUUGCUAUAAUGAUGAUAAAUGGUGAUGAUAAUGGUUGUGUAAUAAUGGUUUAGAUCUUGAUUUGAUGUCAGCACAAAAUACCAAGAAGAUGGUUGGAAAUAUUGAAAAUGUUGGCUUUUACAGAUGCAUAGUGCCUGUUUAAACAUUUGAAUUCAUAUUACUUUCAUUGUACUGUAAUUGCAAAUCUUUGCACCUUUACAACACUUGUUUACAUUUGACAUUUAUAAUAAAAAUGCUGCUUCAGGGUUGCAAAAAA